CCCAAAGGCAUUGCUACAACUUCUGUGCCUUCAGUUUGCUUUCACAUGCCAGCAUCCUGCAGUCAGGUACAGGAGAAACACGUGUUGGGCUGUGCCUCUUCUGCCACUUUCACCAUCCGGUUCUGACGUGGACUGUACCUGCUGAGAGCAAGGCAGCAGCUGGAAAGCACCAGGGAAUCACAUUAUGUUAGAUCCCUCCAGCUUCGGGCGGUUAACUCAGCCCAUUUCAUAGAACUGGGAGCUUCUGAAGAAAACCCAAUGGAAUAUAUACACAAAUCGCUGGCAAUUCGAGAAGCAGUAGCAGUUCAUGGAGCUGCCCUUCACAAACCUUGAAGUAGCUUUCAUCUUGCUGGCUUUUAUCAUUUUCACCUUGUUUACCCUGGCUUCUAUCUACAGUGACUCCCAUGACAACAAAGAAGAGAAAAGCUACACACAGGAAGAAUACAAGAAAAGGAGAAAAUCCAACAAGAAAAAGAAGCAUUCAAAUAUGACUGAAGUGGUUUAGAGUAUUACCCGAGUCCACUGUUGGAAACACUUGUGAAAGAGGUAUCCCUGGAAGCUGGUCACCUGAAGACAGUGAGAAAACAGAUGUGAGAAAGGAAGGACCUAGUCAUCCAUCAGAUGGAAUCCAGACGUGACAAUUAGAGUUAACGAACCACGACCCAUGGAGCUGCUUCAGCACCUUUUUAUAGCCCCACUUCAUGGCCUUCAUAAAAGUACCAGGGCUUAUUUUACAGAGCACAUCUGCUCUAAAUUUCCAAAGGAGAAACUUUAUAUUCAGAAGCUAUUUUUAGUUUCUUCACCAC